CAGCACUACCGUGGGGAAUUUCACAAAACGCCUCCGAUGGGGCCCUUUCCGAUUCCUGUUCUGUAUAAUAUUUCUAUUAUUGUGAUAACCGUGUCCUUCUCUACAGGUUGAUCGGAGCAAAACACCCAACCGCAGCAUGAGCUGGAAGAGCUGCUUCACCGGAGUGCACCACCGUCGGUAAGUUUCAAUUUUUUAUCUUUUUCGGCAAACUGAGGCCCCUUAAUGUGUUUUCUCGUAGGGAUUGAUGCAAAAUCGGCCAAAAAUAGCCAACCCGAGGUGGACUACCGCUGCGGGUGGCAGCACCGUCACUGGAGCACAGGAGAGCUGUCGUGCUGAAAUUUUAAAAUUUACCAUGUUGUCCCUGGUACUGAUUUAUGGUUUGUUUGGGACAUUUAUAGGUACUAUUAGCGCGUUUUAAUUCCCGAAGAAAAUUUUAAGGAACUUGAAAAUCGCCCGUAUGCGCAGUCGAA
rnacentral:lncRNA from 1 species